UACGAGGGGGGGCGAGCGUUGUUCGGAAUUAUUGGGCGUAAAGGGCGCGUAGGCGGUGCGGUAAGUCACCUGUGAAAUCUCCUGGCUCAACUGGGAGCUUGCAGGCGAAACUGCCGUGCUGGAGUGUGGGAGAGGUGCGUGGAAUUCCUGGUGUAGCGGUGAAAUGCGUAGAUAUCAGGAGGAACACCGUGGUGGCAAAGG
rnacentral:rRNA from 1 species